rnacentral:rRNA from 1 species
CGGACGGGUGAGUAAUGUCUGGGAAACCGCCUGAUGGGGGGGGAUAACUACUGGAAACGGUAGCUAAUACCGCAUAACGUCGCAAGACCAAAGAGGGGGACCUUCGGGCCUCUUGCCAUCGGAUGUGCCCAGAUGGGAUUAGCUAGUAGGUGGGGUAACGGCUCACCUAGGCGACGAUCCCUAGCUGGUCUGAGAGGAUGACCAGCCACACUGGAACUGAGACACGGUCCAG